ensembl:lncRNA LINC00933 long intergenic non-protein coding RNA 933
GCCCCCUCCUGGCUUUGACCCAGCACUGCUGGACCCAUCUAGUCCGUUCCUCACACUCGCGGACUGGAAGCUCCAGGCUGCACAACCACCAACUGCACCAACCAUGUGCCUAAAGCUAACUGUGUCAAAAAGAGCAUGCUUCGAGGGGCUGGAGUGAGCAAUUCAACUUGUGGAGAAAUAAGAAAUAAUAGUGUUGAGACAAGAAACAUAAAACCGCAGGCUGCAGCAUAUCAUGAGUGAUGAGAUCUGUGUACAGGUGACUGACCUUUACCUGGCAGAAAAUAAUAAUGGGGCCACCGGAGGCCAGCCGAACACACAGAACUCAAGAAGCCUCCUGGAGUCAACGUAUCCACAGAAAGCCAAGCAGCUAAUGUCAGAUGAGAAAUGCUUUAAGGUGAGAGUUGCUCAUGUAGUCAAAGACCUUGCUGGUGACAAUGUAAGUUGUUAGGAUUCUCUGAAUCGGAAGUUAUAGCCAGGGUACUUUGACCCCGUGAUUCUACUCCUGGAACUUUUUAGAGUUCCUAAUGAGUUCACCAGAGAAAUACAAAGUGGAAGUAACCAUCUUCCUGGACAAUCUAUUUUGUUUCUUUCUUGCCUUAAAAAAAAAAAACUAGUUAUAUAUGAUUUUUACAAUUUUGUAUUCUUCUUUUUCCCUGAACAUUUUUC